UACGGAGGGUGCUAGCGUUGCUCGGAAUUACUGGGCGUAAAGCGUACGCAGGCGGCUUGGUAAGUCGGAUGUGAAAUCCCCAGGCUCAACCUGGGAACUGCAUCCGAAACUACCUCGCUUGAGUUCGGGAGAGGGAAGUGGAAUUCCUGGUGUAGAGGUGAAAUUCGUUGAUAUCAGGAGGAACACCGGCGGCGAAAGCGGCUUCCUGGCCCGAUACUGACGCUCAUGUACGAAAGCGUGGGGAGCAAACAGGAUUAGAUACCCUGGUAGUCCACGCCGUAAACGAUGAGUGCUAGGUGUUGGAGGUAUUCACCCCUUCAGUGCCGAAGCUAACGCAUUAAGCACUCCGCCUGGGGAGUACGGCCGCAAGGUUAAA
rnacentral:rRNA from 1 species